GACGAACGCUUGCGGCGUGCCUAAGAAAUGCAAGUCGAGCGGGGUGCAGCAAUGCACCUAGCGGCGAACGGUCGCGUAACACGUAAGCAACCUACCCCGAAGACCGGGACAACAUCGCGAAAGUGGUGCUAAUACCGGAUGUGGCUGUUGUCGGGCAUCCGAUGACAACUAAAGCAGCAUGACUGACUUCGGGAUGGGCUUGCGGCCUAUCAGCUAGUUGGUGGGGUAACGGCCUACCAAGGCGACGACGGGUAGCUGGUCUGAGAGGACGGCCAGCCGGACUGGGACUGAGAUACGGCCCAGACUCCUACGGGGGGCAGCAAUUAGGAAUCUUGCGCAAUGGGCGAAAGCCUGACGCAGCGACGCCGCGUGGAGGAUGAAGUCUUUCGGGAUGUAAACUCCUUUUGUGAGGGACGAAACCAAUGACGGUACCUCACGAAUAAGCCCCGGCUAACUACGUGCCAGCAGCCGCCGUAAUAC
rnacentral:rRNA from 1 species